AAGGGAGACCUAAUUCAGGUAAAAGACGAAAAAAAAGUAGUCGCUACCAAGAAUCAAUCCCAAAAGGUCGGAGCGAGGCGAAAUUGGCUUUCAAACUAGGUUCUGGGUUCAAACAAGACCUGAAUCAGGAACAAGGGCUAUUAGCUCAGGUGGUUAGAGCGCACCCCUGAUAAGGGUGAGGUCCCUGGUUCGAGUCCAGGAUGGCCCACCGGCACAGGUGGCAAAAACAAGAGAAGCGAGGAAUCAGCACCUUAUCUUACUUAUAUAGUAAGAGAGAAUGCUGGCUCUGAGUAAAGAGUCCAGAGGAACCUUGAAAACUGCAUAGAGCUAGGUGAAAAAGCCAAAAAAGAAGACCGCAAGGUCAAGCUAAUAAGGGCUAACGGUGGAUACCUAGGCAC
rnacentral:tRNA from 1 species